AUUGAACGCUGGCGGCAGACUUAACACAUGCAAGUCGAGCGGGAGAAGGUGCUUCGGUACUGACCUCAGCGGCGGACGGGUGAGUAAUGCUUAGGAAUCUGCCUAUUAGUGGGGGACGACAUCUCGAAAGGGAUGCUAAUACCGCAUACGUCCUACGGGAGAAAGCAGGGGAUCACUUGUGACCUUGCGCUAAUAGAUGAGCCUAAGUCGGAUUAGCUAGUUGGUGGGGUAAAGGCCUACAAAGGCGACGAUCUGUAGCGGGUCUGAGAGGAUGAUCCGCCACACUGGGACUGAGACACGGCCCAGACUCCUACGGGAGGCAGCAGUGGGGAUAUUGGACAAUGGGGGGAACCCUGAUCCAGCCAUGCCGCGUGUGUGAAGAAGGCCUUAUGGUUGUAAAGCACUUUAAGCGAGGAGGAGGCUCUUUUGGUUAAUACCCAAGAUGAGUGGACGUUACUCGCAGAAUAAGCACCGGCUAACUCUGUGCCAGCCGCCGCCGUAA
rnacentral:rRNA from 1 species